GUUAUAUGGUCAAGUGAAGAAGCGCAUACGGUGGAUGCCUUGGCAGUCAGAGGCGAUGAAAGACGUGGUAGCCUGCGAAAAGCUUCGGGGAGUCGGCAAACAGACUUUGAUCCGGAGAUGUCUGAAUGGGGGAACCCAGCCAUCAUAAGAUGGUUAUCACACACUGAAUACAUAGGUGUGUGAGGCGAACCAGGGGAACUGAAACAUCUAAGUACCCUGAGGAAAAGAAAUCAACCGAGAUUCCCUUAGUAGUGGCGAGCGAACGGGGACUAGCCCUUAAGCUUCUUUGAUUUUAGCGGAACGCUCUGGAAAGUGCGGCCAUAGUGGGUGAUAGCCCUGUACGCGAAAGGAUCUUAGAAGUGAAAUCGAGUAGGACGGAGCACGAGAAACUUUGUCUGAACAUGGGGGGACCAUCCUCCAAGGCUAAAUACUACUGACUGACCGAUAGUGAACCAGUACCGUGAGGGAAAGGCGAAAAGAACCCCGGAGAGGGGAGUGAAAUAGAACCUGAAACCGUAUGCGUACAAGCAGUGGGAGCCUACUUUGUUAGGUGACUGCGUACCUUUUGUAUAAUGGGUCAGCGACUUAUUUUCAGUGGCGAGCUUAACCGAAUAGGGGAGGCGUAGCGAAAGCGAGUCUUAAUAGGGCGUCUAGUCGCUGGGAAUAGACCCGAAACCGGGCGAUCUAUCCAUGGGCAGGUUGAAGGUUAGGUAACACUGACUGGAGGACCGAACCGACUACCGUUGAAAAGUUAGCGGAUGACCUGUGGAUCGGAGUGAAAGGCUAAUCAAGCUCGGAGAUAGCUGGUUCUCCUCGAAAGCUAUUUAGGUAGCGCCUCGUGUAUCACUGCUGGGGGUAGAGCACUGUUUCGGCUAGGGGGUCAUCCCGACUUACCAAACCGAUGCAAACUCCGAAUACCAGCAAGUGUCAGCACGGGAGACACACGGCGGGUGCUAACGUCCGUCGUGAAAAGGGAAACAACCCAGACCGUCAGCUAAGGUCCCAAAGUCAUGGUUAAGUGGGAAACGAUGUGGGAAGGCUUAGACAGCUAGGAGGUUGGCUUAGAAGCAGCCAUCCUUUAAAGAAAGCGUAAUAGCUCACUAGUCGAGUCGGCCUGCGCGGAAGAUGUAACGGGGCUCAAACCAUGCACCGAAGCUACGGGUUCAACGCAAGUUGAGCGGUAGAGGAGCGUUCUGUAAGCCUGUGAAGGUGAGUUGAGAAGCUCGCUGGAGGUAUCAGAAGUGCGAAUGCUGACAUGAGUAACGACAAUGCGAGUGAAAAACUCGCACGCCGAAAGACCAAGGGUUCCUGCGCAACGUUAAUCGACGCAGGGUGAGUCGGUCCCUAAGGCGAGGCUGAAGAGCGUAGUCGAUGGGAAACGGGUUAAUAUUCCCGUACUUCUAGUUACUGCGAUGGGGGGACGGAGAAGGCUAGGCCAGCAAGGCGUUGGUUGUCCUUGUUUAAGGUGGUAGGCAGAGAUCUUAGGUAAAUCCGGGGUCUUAAUGCCGAGAGCUGAUGACGAGCUUUCUUUUAGAAAGCGAAGUGGUUGAUGCCAUGCUUCCAGGAAAAGCCUCUAAGCUUCAGGUAACUAGGAACCGUACCCCAAACCGACACAGGUGGUUGGGUAGAGAAUACCAAGGCGCUUGAGAGAACUCGGGUGAAGGAACUAGGCAAAAUGGCACCGUAACUUCGGGAGAAGGUGCGCCGGUGAGGGUGAAGUAUUUACUACGUAAGCCCAUGCCGGUCGAAGAUACCAGGCCGCUGCGACUGUUUAUUAAAAACACAGCACUCUGCAAACACGAAAGUGGACGUAUAGGGUGUGACGCCUGCCCGGUGCCGGAAGGUUAAUUGAUGGGGUUAGCGCAAGCGAAGCUCUUGAUCGAAGCCCCGGUAAACGGCGGCCGUAACUAUAACGGUCCUAAGGUAGCGAAAUUCCUUGUCGGGUAAGUUCCGACCUGCACGAAUGGCGUAACGAUGGCGGCGCUGUCUCCACCCGAGACUCAGUGAAAUUGAAAUCGCUGUGAAGAUGCAGUGUAUCCGCGGCUAGACGGAAAGACCCCGUGAACCUUUACUAUAGCUUUGCACUGGACUUUGAGCUUGCUUGUGUAGGAUAGGUGGGAGGCUUUGAAGCGUGGACGCCAGUUCGCGUGGAGCCAUCCUUGAAAUACCACCCUGGCAACCUUGAGGUUCUAACUCUGGUCCGUUAUCCGGAUCGAGGACAGUGUAUGGUGGGUAGUUUGACUGGGGCGGUCUCCUCCUAAAGAGUAACGGAGGAGUACGAAGGUGCGCUCAGACCGGUCGGAAAUCGGUCG
rnacentral:rRNA from 1 species